ensembl:lncRNA uncharacterized LOC114845812
AGCAAAGCCCUAGCUGCAUGAUUGAUACAUCCACUGGCCAAUGAGCGCUGAGAUUACGUCUCCCGGGCGGUAGUGCACGUAGAGCUGAUUUGCAACCCGCCGAAGCUCCAGCAGAGAAGGAGGAAAAAUGUCGCUGGAGUCGACGCGGACCGUUCUAGGAUCAGUGAGCUCUUAGGAGAAAACGCACAGCAGUUCGAACAAACCUGUGGCGCUGACAUGGACUGUUUGACACUUUUGUUUGGCCAACACUACACAAGCCUCUGAAGGUUACUUGGUCUAAUAAUCACAGCCUCCUGACCCCCCAGCUACCGUGGUUCAGUUCCAGCCCAAGCAUGGACCAGUCUGCCAGAGUGGUUUCCUCAGAGCCAGGAAACAGUGUGGCACAAGCCAGCAUGGACCUACAGGGCUUGUCAGAAAGCACGCUGGUCCUCCCGCAAAUGCCAGGACAGGCCCUGCUCGAGCCCAACCAGGUGGAAAUGCACGCCAUGCAGCCUCACGUCCAGCCCCAGGUGCCGGGUUCUGGCCCGGUCCAGUCUGAGGGUGCCUCGCAGAGUCAGGAGCUGGCAGCAAACUCCAGCUCGACCUCCGGGACCCAGAUGCCGUUUGCAGAAGUGUCGUCACUGCUGGAUCCCAACAUGAAAGGCUCCAAAGCUCGCAAGUAUCUCAUCUCGUAUGAAGAAAUCAAACGGCGCCUGCAGGCCCCAGAGAGGAUGUCCCUGCGCUCGCUGGCGGCGUACACCCGCGUCAGCAGAGGCCCGGCCAGCAAGAAAACGCUGCUGGAGUCGCUCAAUGUGCUGGGCCUGACGCCGAGCACGACCACGUCCGUCUCCUCCGCCUUCUCCAAACUCACGGAAGGCGACACCAGAGCUCUGUGCGACGACAUGAAAGACUUCGCCCAAGACUACAUCGACUACGGCAACAUGGCGAAGCAGCUCAUCCCUGAGACCAAUACAGUGCAACACUGGUCCAAAAUCAUUGAAACCAAAAACCACCUUGAAGACAUGAGGAAAUGCUUCAAGGACCCGGUCAACGGCGGCGCCUUCGACAGCGUCACCCACGGCCUCGGUCUGGGAAUGCUGGAUGUGGCGCUGGACGUGGUCGUCAUGGUGAUCGAGCAGCAGAUCCGCAUCCUUUCCGGCGCGGCGGCGUCAGAGCCCGCCGACUCUGGCCCAAUGAUGCGACGCGUCCGCCGGCGCCACCGCAAAGUCCGCUCCCACGACCACGAGGUGGCGGCCGCGGUCAAGGAGGAAGGAAAGGGCCUCAGCCAAGGAAGGGGACGAGGCAAGAUGAGGAAGAGGCCCCGGCGGGAACAGGGAGCGCUUGGCUGUGUGGAAGGCCAAGCGGAGCAGAGCAAGCCGCACGAUGUUCUGACGCUGGUGUCCGUGGGAUACGAGACGGUCUCCAGUGGCCUCAGUGCAGCUGGACCCGUUUGACACCGGCCCGACUGGUCCACAGAACCAGGGAGGGAGGUCAAACCCCUCAUUGCCCAGUCGCCACCAGCCCUCAGGUAGCUGCUAGCAUCCUCACCGGUCCCAGAGGAACCGUUAAUUAGCCCGUAGUGACUGAAGGACUAGAACUAGCAACCUACGAGUCGACGGACGGCAGGUUUAAGACUGUGAUAUCAAACCUGUCACUUAGUUUUUUACACUUUUCUUCAUAAAUGUGAUAUAAUGUGUUUCCUAAUGAGCUUCAUGGCUUCAGGUUGCAGCAUGUUUGCACUGAGCCGGCUCUGGUGAGUCUUCAUUAGCAGGUUUGGUGUCUGGUCACAGGAGCAGCUGAUACUUCACAUACAUGUAUGUAUAUGUGUUACGUAUGUUUAGAUUUGUUGCAUUAGCUCAAUAAAACAAAAUCAUCUUCACA